UUUUAGCAAUUUGGUAGAAAAAAAUAAAUCAUAACAAAAGAAAAAUUUUAAGAGAGUCCUUAUAUAGUAUAUUCAUUUCUGAUCUACGAGAUGAUACGUGUCAGUAUUAUAUUGGUUGAACAAAAAAAUAGAAAAGGGAAAAAAAAAAUUGACGAUCAAAUUUUAUUUCUUUCCUUUCUCUCUCCUUCUCUCUUUCUCUCACGAUCGAAGUCUCGAUCCGACAAAGUAAGGUAUGCUUUAAUCGGAGGUUAGGGAAUCAGUGGAGUUUUGGGUCGGAAGAGAUCGUAGCGGAAGCGACUGACUCGGCGGAGAUGCGUAGCAGAGGCAACUGACUCGACGGAGAUUGUAUCGGAGGCAACUGUAGCAGAGGCGAUUUGAAUCGUCGUGGAGAUUGUACGGGAGGUGUGCAUGUGUUUCGAUUUGGGUUCUACAAGGAACUAAUAUAUAAAUGCAUGAUGGACGAACUAAAAGAUGUAAAGAAAUUUCUGAAUCCCACAGAAGUGUUACUCGUUGUUGAUACCAUGACUGGACAAGAAGCUUCAGCUCUGGUGACAACGUUCGAUGUAGAGAUAGGAAUCACAGGAGCCACUUUGACAAAGCUAGAUGGUGCUGCUUUGAGUCUCAAGGAGGUUAUUGCCAAACUGGAAGGGGUUGUUGUCAUUCAGUACUGUGCAUUACGACUAUUGCAGGCGACAGUUGAUGAGUCCCUCUAUGAUGUCAGUUUUAAGCUCCAAAAGAUGGAGAACGAAGAGGGUCAAGUCACUUUUUUAUUAUUAUUGUAAGGAAACUUAAUGAAUUGAUUGUUCUUGUUUGUUUUUGGAUUAUAAUUGCAGCUCAGCUACUAACAGGUUGAUCACAUCAAAGGAUCAUGCUUAUGUGCAGCUCAACAUUGGUCAUCUCGAUGCUGAUGGGGUGUACACUGGUCAAUUCACUACAUUUUCUCUCUGCGGUUUUGUCCGUGCUCAGGGUGAUGCCGACAGUGGAGUCGACAGGCUAUGGUAGAAGAAGAAGAAGAUUGAAGCCAAACAACAUUUUUUGAAUUCGCUGUUGGGAAGUUGCAAGCGAGGUAGUAAAAUUCAUCAGCGGUUCAGGAAGGCAAAGACGACGAAAACAAUUUUUGCUCAAUAGGUUAGAUUAUAUGAUAUGGAUGUUGAAGAUGUGGGAAUAGAUCUUCUAACAAGAAGUGGUAACGUAGAUGAGCUUUGUGAGGCAAGUACGAGUGGGUACGUUGCUCGUAGUUCAGACCAGUUUGCAACGGUUGGUGAGCCCAGAGAUGGGAUGGAGUUCGAGUCAAAGGAGGCUGCGUACUAUUUCUACAGAGAGUACGCUCUAUCAGUGGGAUUUGGGAUCACAAUCAAAGCUAGCCGUCAUUCUAAAAGAUCUGGAAAGUUUAUUGAUGUCAAGAUAGCAUGUUCGAGAUUUGGAACCAAGCGCAAGAAAAGCGCAGCUAUAAACCCAUGAUCUUGUCCAAAGACGGGUUGCAAAGCUGGUCUACAUAUGAAGAGGAAAUAAGAUGAGAAAUGGGUUAUUUAUAGUUUUGUUAAAGAACAUAACCAUGAGAUAUGUCCAGAUGAUUUAUUUAUUAGCAUAAGGGGGAAGAACAAGCCUGCUGGUGCGCUCUCCAAACCAAAGAAAGGUCUUCAACUGGCUCUAGAAAAGGAAGGCUUCGAUUUAUUGUUGGAGCAUUUUAUGGACAUGCAGGAUAAGCAGCCUGGUUUUUUUUAUGCGGUUGAUUUCAACAGUGAGAAUAAUGUUAGAAAUGUCUUUUGGCUUGAUGCAAAGGCCAAGCAUGACUAUUGCAGCUUUUCUGAUGUUGUUCUCUUUGACACAUUUUAUGUUAGGAGCAGAUACAGAAUCCCGUUUGCUCCUUUUAUUGGGGUUAGCCAUCACUGUCAAUACGUGCUGCUUGGAUAUGCUUUGAUUGGAGAAGAGAGUGAGUCAACAUAUUCUUGGCUAUUUCGGACGUGGCUUAAAGCAGUCGGUGGUCAUGCUCCUGGAGUGAUGAUAACAGAUCAAGAUAAACUUAUAAGUGACGUUGUUGUUGAAGUUUUUCCAAGUGCUCGUCAUUUUUUCUGUUUGUGGAAUGUGCUGAGUAAGAUUCCUGAGAUGCUGAAUCCUUUUGUGAGUCAAGAUGAUGGUUUUAUGGAAAGUUUUAGAAAUUGCGUACACAGCUCUUGGACAGAUGAACAAUUUGAAAGGAGGUGGUCAAAUAUAAUUAGUAAAUUUGAACUUGACGAUAAUGAGUGGGUUCAGUUGUUGUUUAGAGAUCGUAAAAAAUGGGUGCCACUUUAUUUUCAUGGGAUUUGUUUAGCUGGACUGUCUGGACCUGAAAGACCUGGCAGUGUCGCCUCUCAAUUUGACAAUUAUAUGAACUCAGAGUCUACUUUCAAGGACUUCUUUGAACUCUACAAGCAGUUUCUGCAGUAUUGAUGUGAUGUGGAAGCAAAUGAUGAUCUGGAAUCUCAGAGCAAACAGCCUACAAUCAGGUCUUCUUUGGCUUUCGAGAAACAACUUUCCUUGAUCUACACGGACGCUGCUUUUAAGAAAUUCCAAGCUGAGGUACCAGGCGUUGUUUCUUGUCAACUCCGAAAAGAAAGAGAAGAUGGGACAACAGCGAUAUUCCGCGUCAAAGAUUUUGAGCAACGGCAAAAUUUAUCUGUUGCUCUGAAGAAAGAGUUGUUGGAUGUGUGUUGCUCUUGUCAUUUAUUCGAGUACCAGGGAUUCCUAUGCAAACAUGCUAUACUUGUCCUUCAAAAUUCUGAUGUUUCCCUCAUUCCAUCUCAGUAUAUAUUGAAGUGUUGGUCAAAGAGAUGUAACAACAUAGAGGGUUAAAAAGAAGAAUGUGUCGCUACUCAUAAUCGAAUGGCACGUUUUAAUGAUCUCUGUAGGCGCUUUGUUAAGCUGGGAGAAGUUGCAUCUUUAUCAAAUGAAGCCUACAAGACUGCUCUAACGUUGUUGGAGGAAACUAAGAAGCAUUGUGUUAAUAACUCUCCCAAGUUUCCUUCAGAGCCAGAUAAGUUAAUGACGGGUGGAUCUAUUGGCUGAGAAAGUGAAGGUAUGUUGGAAGGUACAUCAAAAUUGUCCAAGAAAAAGAAAAUUCAGAAGAAAAGAAAGGUUUAUUGUAGGCCAGAGGAUGCAACAAACAGGUCAGAAGAAGUACCCCAAGAAACGG